AAUUGAAUUAAACAAGAAUGUGUCCAUAGUACACGAAUGCCCCACUCGCACUAUCAUUUUCUAUGUUCAGUGGACCGUGAAAUUGGGGUCAAAACUUUAAUUUGGAAUUAAAAUUAGAAAGAUCAUAUCAUAGGGAACAUGUGUACAAAGUUUCAAGUUGAUGUAACUUUAACUUCAUCAAAAACUACCUUGACCAAAAACUUUAACCUGAACUUCGCACUAUCAGUUUCUAUGUUCAGUGGACCAUGAAAUUGGGGUCAAAACUAUAAUUUAGCAUCAAAAUUAGAAAGAUCAUAUCAUGGGGAACAAGUGUACUAAAUUUCAAGUUGAUUGAACUUCAACUUCUUCAAAAACUACCUUGACCAAAAACUUUAACCUGAAGCGGACGGACGAACGGAGGCACAGACCAGAAAACAUAAUGCCCCUCUACUAUCGUAGGUGGGGCAUAAAAA
rnacentral:lncRNA from 1 species